CAGUCGCCACGGGAAUACAGAGGGUGCGAGCGUUAAUCGGAUUUACUGGGCGUAAAGCGUGCGUAGGCGGCUUCUUAAGUCGGAUGUGAAAUCCCUGAGCUUAACUUAGGAAUUGCAUUCGAUACUGGGAAGCUAGAGUAUGGGAGAGGAUGGUAGAAUUCCAGGUGUAGCGGUGAAAUGCGUAGAGAUCUGGAGGAAUACCGAUGGCGAAGGCAGCCAUCUGGCCUAAUACUGACGCUGAGGUACGAAAGCAUGGGGAGCAAACAGGAUUAGAUACCCCGGUAGUCCCUGUCUCUUAUAA
rnacentral:rRNA from 1 species